ensembl:lncRNA TEKT4P2 tektin 4 pseudogene 2
CCACUUCGCCAUUUUCCUCCGGAAGUGCGGAUCCCAGCGGCGGUCGUGUAGCUGAGCAGGCCUGGGGCUUGGUUCUAUGUCCCUGUAGUGUCCUCUGGGUGUUUCCAAGAGCAACAAGAAACGAAUAAAUCUCUGCCCCGCAGCGCCUCCACCCCAGAGACCCGGACCAAGUUCACACAGGACAAUCUGUGCCACGCCCAGCGCGAGCGCCUGGACUCGGCCAACCUGUGGGUGCUGGUGGACUGCAUCCUUCGCGACACCUCCGAGGACCUGGGACUCCAGUGUGACGCCGUGAACCUGGCCUUCGGGCGCCGCUGUGAGGAACUGGAGGACGCGCGGCACAAGCUGCAGCACCACCUGCACAAGGCCCAAGGGGCACUGUCCUGUCUGCAGAUGCUGCGGGAAAUCACAGAUCAGGAACACAACGUGGUGGCACUGAAGGAGGCCAUCAAGGACAAGGAGGAACCUCUGCACAUAGCCCAGACCCGGCUGUAGUUGCUCUCACACCGGCCCAACAUGCAGCUGUGCCGCGAUGCAGCCCAGUUCAGCCCCAGCUCACACCCCCCAACACCCCCAAGCUGGUGAGUGAGGUGGAGGAGCUGUACAAGUCCAUCACAGCGCUGCGGGAGAAGCUUCUACAAGCGGAGCAGUCCCUGCGCAACCUCAAGGACAUCCACAUGAGCCUGGAGAAGGACGUCACUGCCAUGACCAACAGUCUCUUCAUCGACCGCCAGAAGUGCAUGGCCCAUCGUACUUGCUACCCCACCAUUCUGCAGCUGGCUGGCUACCAGUGAGCAGCGGCACGGUGCUUCCCCCCAAUCCCCCAAAUAAACAGUGCGUUAGCUU